UCUCUCUGGAGAGUCUCAGUUAGAGCGCCGAAGGUGUACGGCAGGGAAGAAGAACCUGCCAAUCUCUCAGGCAAAAGGACAGGGUU
rnacentral:ncRNA from 1 species